CCUACGGGAGGCUGCAGUGAGGAAUAUUGGUCAAUGGACGAGAGUCUGAACCAGCCAAGUAGCGUGAAGGAUUACUGCCCUAUGGGUUGUAAACUUCUUUUAUAUGGGAAUAAAAUGUUCCACGUGUGGGAUUUUGUAUGUACCAUAUGAAUAAGGAUCGGCUAACUCCGUGCCAGCAGCCGCGGUAAUACGGAGGAUCCGAGCGUUAUCCGGAUUUAUUGGGUUUAAAGGGAGCGUAGGUGGAUUGUUAAGUCAGUUGUGAAAGUUUGCGGCUCAACCGUAAAAUUGCAGUUGAAACUGGCAGUCUUGAGGACAGUAGAGGUGGGCGGAAUUCGGGGUGUAGCGGUGAAAUGCUUAGAUAUCACGAAGAACUCCGAUUGCGAAGGCAGUUCACUGGACUGCAACUGACACUGAGGCUCGAAAGUGUGGGUAUCAAACAGGAUUAGAUACCCUUGUAGUC
rnacentral:rRNA from 1 species